CGGAGUAUGUAACAUCCACUUCAAGCUCCUUCUGACUCAUUGUUCACAACUGCCUCUCGCCUACAGCCGAUCGCAAUUCUCAAGCCUUUCUGUAAUUCUUCGCUCUGCGCGUUCGUUCUCCACCUUCAAGCCUCACCAUGGCAAUCUCUGGAUGCGGCAAGCCUGACUGCGGUUGCGGCAGCGACUGCCAAUGCAGCAAUGGAUGCUCAUGCUGCAAGACUUUGGUCAACUUCAACACCGAGAACGACUGCAAGUGUGGCCCAAACUGCAACUGUGCCGACUGCGCAUGCCACAAGUGAGCGCAGCCACCGUCGUGGAUGCGCCGGUGCAGCAAUCCCAUAGCCACUGCCAUGGAAGCAACGAGAGGACAUGGCGGGUAGUUGCACCGCUUGGAAAGCAGCAACACUUGUGCAGAAAUAGUCCGAAAAACCACCUAUAAAAACAUGGCAUAUCUGCCCUUCACAGUAUCAUACAACAAUGUGGCAGAGGCCGUUAUAUUUGAAUAACAUAUUCGGGAUGGGGCUCCCUCGAGCUUCUCCCCUUUUUCUGUGAA